AAACCAACAUAUGUGUUGGGAAAAAACUGAACGAGAAUGAAGUAUAUCACCUCGGCCUCACAAACCAUGAGGUUUACAUAGCCGCGGAGCUUGUUGCCACGGAGCCCCUCGGCAAAGAUCCGGAUCUGCUCCUGCCUCACAGAGUAGGGCACAUCAAACGCAACCCCUCGGCCAAACGCCGCGACCGUGAAACGGUACACCUCCUGCUGGCUCAUCUCAGACUCGGGGCCAUUGAAGAGGUGCUCCGACACCUCGGGGCCGAUCAGGAAGGUGAUCCUGUGGCCGAGGGUGCUAAGGGUGAAGACGCUGCCGAGGCGCGCGUACUCCUCCCGGAUCAUUGUGAUGGGGCCGCGCAUGAACCGUAUCAGUCCCCCGAUGAUAGGCAUGGCAGGGAUGGUCGGCGGCAGUCGCCUGCGGCUACGGACUCUGGAGCCGGACCACACGAGGAGCUUGAGCAUGGAGAUGGUGGUGACCAGCAGCACGGCACCGGCGAUGAGCAGGUGCUUGUCCGUAAGGCUCAUCGUUUCCUGCAGGUCCAGUUCAAUUGCCAUUUCUGCUGG
rnacentral:misc_RNA from 1 species